AUUGAGGUGGCAGAAGUGUAAUGCGUUAAAUUUAAGCUUUAAAGAUGAAGUUUUUCCCUUGAUA
rnacentral:tRNA from 1 species